AGAGUUUGAUCCUGGCUCAGGACGAACUUUGGCGGCAUGCCUAACACAUGCAAGUCGAACGGAGUUAUUAUUCAGAAGUUCUUCGGAAUGGAAGGAUAAGAACUUAGUGGCGGACGGGUGAGUAACGCGUGGGUAACCUGCCCUUUUGUGGGGAACAACUUCGAGAAAUCGGAGCUAAUACCGCAUAAUAAUAGAGGAUCGCAUGAUUCUUUAAGGAAAGAUGGCCUCUGAAGAUGCUAUCGCAAAAGGAUGGACCCGCGUCUGAUUAGCUAGUUGGAAGGGUAACGGCCUACCAAGGCAACGAUCAGUAGCCGGCCUGAGAGGGUGAACGGCCACAUUGGGACUGAGACACGGCCCAAACUCCUACGGGAGGCAGCAGUGGGGAAUCUUCCGCAAUGGGCGAAAGCCUGACGGAGCAAUGCCGCGUGAGUGAAGAAGGCCUUCGGGUUGUAAAACUCUGUCCUUAUCGAAGAGAGGUAGGUAUGUGAAUAAUGUACCUAUAGGACGGUAGAUAAGGAGGAAGCCCCGGCUAACUACGUGCCAGCAGCCGCGGUAAUACGUAGGGGGCGAGCGUUGUCCGGAAUCACUGGGCGUAAAGGGCGCGUAGGCGGUUUAAUAAGUCAGUGGUGAAAACUGAGGGCUCAACCCUCAGCCUGCCACUGAUACUGUUAGACUUGAGUAUGGAAGAGGAGAAUGGAAUUCCUAGUGUAGCGGUGAAAUGCGUAGAUAUUAGGAGGAACACCAGUGGCGAAGGCGAUUCUCUGGGCCAAGACUGACGCUGAGGCGCGAAAGCGUGGGGAGCAAACAGGAUUAGAUACCCUGGUAGUCCACGCCGUAAACGAUGGAUACUAGGUGUUAGUAGUUUCGAUGCUACUAGUGCCGGAGUAAACACAAUAAGUAUCCCGCCUGGGGAGUACGGUCGCAAGACUGAAACUCAAAGGAAUUGACGGGGGCCCGCACAAGCGGUGGAGCAUGUGGUUUAAUUCGACGCAACGCGAAGAACCUUACCAAGACUUGACAUCCUCCUGACAAGAUAUGUAAUGUAUCUCUUUUCUUCGGAGACAGGAGAGACAGGUGGUGCAUGGUUGUCGUCAGCUCGUGUCGUGAGAUGUUGGGUUAAGUCCCGCAACGAGCGCAACCCUUAUUUCUAGUUGCCAGCAGUAAGAUGGGGACUCUAGAGAGACUGCCAGUGACAAACUGGAGGAAGGUGGGGAUGACGUCAAAUCAUCAUGCCCCUUAUGUCUUGGGCUACACACGUGCUACAAUGGUCAGAACAGAGGGAAGGGAAGCCGCGAGGUGGAGCAAAUCCCAGAAAACUGAUCUCAGUUCGGAUUGCAGGCUGCAACCCGCCUGCAUGAAGUCGGAAUCGCUAGUAAUCGCGGGUCAGCAUACCGCGGUGAAUACGUUCCCGGGCCUUGCACUCACCGCCCGUCA
rnacentral:rRNA from 1 species